rnacentral:tRNA from 1 species
CCCUUGGUGGUGUAGUUGGUUAUCGCGUUCGGCUGUAAUAGUGCACAUUGUUGUUACCGAAAUGUCGCCGGUUCGAUUCCGGCCCGAGGGA